rnacentral:rRNA from 1 species
CUGGAACGCGCCCCAGGCGCACCCAGAAACCCUUUGUGAACUUAUACCUUACUGUUGCCUCGGCGCUAGCUGGUCCUCCGGGGCCCCUCCUUCUGGAGGAGCAGGCACGCCGGCGGCCAACCCAACUCUUGUUUUUACACUGAAACUCUGAGAAUAAAACAUAAAUGAAUCAAAACUUUCAACAACGGAUCUCUUGGUUCUGGCAUCGAUGAAGAACGCAGCGAAAUGCGAUAAGUAAUGUGAAUUGCAGAAUUCAGUGAAUCAUCGAAUCUUUGAACGCACAUUGCGCCCUCUGGUAUUCCGGAGGGCAUGCCUGUUCGAGCGUCAUUUCAACCCUCAAGCCUGGCUUGGUGAUGGGGCACUGCUUCUUACCCAAGGAGCAGGCCCUGAAAUUCAGUGGCGAGCUCGCCAGGACCCCGAGCGCAGUAGUUAAACCCUCGCUCUGGAAGGCCCUGGCGGUGCCCUGCCGUUAAACCCCCAACUUCUGAAAAU